CAGUAGCCGCGGGAAUACGUAGGGUGCAAGCGUUAAUCGGAAUUACUGGGCGUAAAGCGUGCGCAGGCGGUUUGUUAAGACAGAUGUGAAAUCCCCGGGCUCAACCUGGGAACUGCAUUUGUGACUGGCAAGCUAGAGUCUGGCAGAGGGGGGUGGAAUUCCGCGUGUAGCAGUGAAAUGCGUAGAUAUGCGGAGGAACACCGAUGGCGAAGGCAGCCCCCUGGGCCAACACUGACGCUCAUGCACGAAAGCGUGGGGAGCAAACAGGAUUAGAUACCCCGGUAGUCCCUGUCUCUUAUAC
rnacentral:rRNA from 1 species